rnacentral:tRNA from 1 species
UACCCGGUGCGGCAAGAGGUAAGCCGUCCACCUCUCGAAUGAACGUGGAGACACAGGUUCGAAUCCUGUUCGGGUAA